rnacentral:lncRNA from 1 species
UAACAGAAAUACCAUGGUGGAUGUAAUCAUAAAGUUACUUCAUUUUUUAUCUACUAUUCCUUUAAAGGAAUAACAGCUGUUUAACAUCUUCAGUCCACUGUUAUAAUAAUUGUUGUUAUUAUAACAUAUAACUUAAAUAUAAUAAUAAUUAGUAUUGUAACAUAGUUAUAAGAAGAGAGAAGGGCUUAGAGGAAAGCAGCAGGAGCUUGACAAAUACCUGUAUGAUUGUCUAGAUUCCACUCUCUUUGGGUUUGUCAAGUUUAAAAUCUGACACAUUCUUUGACAAUACUUUUUUGAAUUCUUUGAAGAUAUCGUAUGUAUCAGACACCUCAUAUGCCUUACCUCCCAUCUUCUUGACUAAUGACCUUUUGCUUCAGUCACUGCUCUGAGAACCACAGAGUUCAGAAGUAACUGGUUGCAUCUUAUCUCUGGUGCACCAUACAUUUCUUUCUUUCUGCAGUGUGGAUUUUCUGAUGCUACUGUGUAUGACACCUCUGGGAACCCAUUUGAAACACACAGGCAAGUAUGAGGGAGUUGCUGCCCCAUAGAUAAAUGCUUUUUUUCCCUGUCUCUCAGGAAGAAAGUGGACAUUUUUAAAAAUUUUAAUUUUUGAUUUUUAUGAGCACAUAGUAUGUGUAUAUAUUUAUGAGGUAUAUGAGAUAUUUUGAUACAAGCAUACAAUGUAUAAUAAUCACACCAGGGUAAAUUGAGUAUCCAUCACUUCAAGUAUUUAUCAUUUCUUUUCGUUACAAACAUUCCAAUUAUACUUUUAGUUAUUUUUAAAUGUACAAUAAAUUAUAGUUGACUGUAAUCUCCCCAUUGUGCUAUCAAAUACUAGAUCUUAGUCAUUCUAUCUAACUACAUUUUUGUAGCUAUUAGCCAUCCUCACUCCUGCCACCCCAUUACCCUUCUCAGCCUUUGGUAACUAUCAUUCUACUCUCCAUCUCCAUGAGUUCAAUUGUUUCAGUCAUUAGUCCCACAAAUGAGUGAGAACAUGUGAAGUCUGUCAUGUAGACAAUUUUGAGACACAUUCUACCUUGCUCCUAGCUCAAUAACACACUUGCAUAAGCUUUCCUCUAUUCCUCUUAUUUCUUGCCUGUUUCCCACUCCUUUUCAUUCACUUUACAAAAUAGCAUAUCUGUAUUCAAACUCUUGUCUCAGGCUCUGCUUUCUAGGGAUAAUCCAUACAAAAUCAUACAAUCAGUUCCCUUGACAUGAGUAAAUGCACGCAUUCAGCUGAUCCCAAACUACUUCUUCAGUCUGUGGGCAGCCCAUGGUUUACUUACAGCUUCUCUCUCCUGUCUUUUUGUGCCUGCAGAGUCUUCUUGGACAGCACCUAAGAUGGUGCCUAUUUCAGCACUCUCUUUGCAAAGAAGCCCAUUUCUGGUGCAUAGAACACAUACAAAUCCUAAGUGACAAAAACUCUGGGCAUGCAGGCUGACUCGAACGCACCCAUCUUUCUUUGUUCUACUACCAGUCAGCCUCUCUUAUGUUAAAUUUUUCAGGAAUGGGGAGGACACAAAGCCACUGUGGCAGCAAGGCUCAAAGGACUCAUUUUAAACUCUCCAAGUAUUUUCCUCAAAACUCAUUCCCUGCCCAUUAUGGUCUCCACUUUGAGGGCAAGGUAUUUCUCCUAAUGUUAUCCCUCCCCUACCCCUCAACGCCUGACAGACCCUGGUGUGUAAAUGCAAAUCAAAACCACAAUGAGAUACCAUCUCACGCCAGUUAGAGUGGCGAUCAUUAAAAAGUCAGAAAACAACAGAUGCUGGAGAGGAUGCGGAGAAAUAGGAAUGCUUUUACACUGUUGGUGGGAGUGUAAAUUAGUUCAACCGUUGUGGAAGACAGUGUGGCAAUUCCUCAAGGAUCUAGAACUAGAAAUACCAUUUGAUCAGCUUUUAUUCAUACCCACAAAGAAUACUUUGUAAUAGAGAUUUCUCACUGAUUUGGGGAAAAAAAAGUGUAUUCCAUUAACGUAUUAGAUUACUGCUUCAUCUCAUCAACUCUUAUUUUUACCACCACAACAAAACAGCCUAUUUAAAAGCAAAUAUUGUACCAUAUCAAUCCUUCAUUAAUGAAUGAGCCUAACGAGCAGAGAAUUGUCCAGGUUCUGUUCACUAUCUGGCUAUUCAUAGUAAUGCAUUGUCUGAAAUAAAGUCAGAUUUGGGUAACUCUUGCACCAAAGCCACUGACAAAGAUUUAUAUGGUUUACCAUAAUGAGUUGACUUCUCUUUGGAUAACGACAGUGACUAAUGCUGUACCUAUCUUGGUGGAGGCAUUUUUUUAUCUUAUCCAUGUUUUACGGAAGGUGAUCUUUGGUUUACAGAAUCGUGGAACUGGAAAAUAUAUUUAGUGUUUACCUCAUUCAUUCCCUUAUUAUGAAUGAGAAAAUUGAAUCCAGAGGCAUUAAAUGAGACAUGUUAGGCUAAUGGCAAAGAAUUGUCUAGAACUCAUGCCUUGUAAUUCCAGAGCCCUAUGCUGUGAAAGAUAAAAACAUUAGUUUUUUCUGUAACCCAAAAACAGGCAUUAUGACAUUGCUUUCUGAAAUAGACAUAUGCCAGUUAAAAUAUGGUAGAGUGCUCAAGUUAUAUGUGAAACACAGGGCUUUUUAUUUUCAAAAUGGGAAAGGAUGUCAGCUCUCAGUGUUUACUUGAUAUUUGAGAGUUAUUUCCCUUAUAUUUGUAAUCACACCAGAAUGUGGUAAAGAUUAACAAACCAAUGAUGUUUAUGACAAGUCUUUGUUUUUUUCUAGUUGUUCAUAACUACCAUCAAAAGCUGAGGUUCUAGAAUGUCCAUUUAAACAUCCAGGGCACUACUGUCAGCAAGAGAUCAUUAAUCCAGUGAGAGUAUAAUUAAAAGAACAGUCUUCCAUCCUCCCACUCCAAUUUCCAAACCUGAAUAAGAUGAAAAUAUAUCUUUAUUCUUGUUGCUUUCCACUUAGGGUUGUAGUGGCUACCUUACCUAAAAAUAAGAUUACAUUGUAAAGCAAGAUGUCAUUUCAAAGUGUUUGUGUGUAGCUAUAGAGGGCUAUAUGGCUUUGUUGCUUGAAGAGACUCUUAUCUAUCAACAGAUGUGUAGGCAUGGUCUGGUUGUCAGAGAAUGAAUAAAGAGAAGCUGAUGAUGCACCA